CCUAACUCCCAAUGUGAUGAUGGUAUUUGGAGGUGGGGCCUUGGGAUAUAAUUAGGGUUAUAUAAGCUCCUGAGGGUGGGGCUUCCAUGAUGAGGUUAGUACCCUUUUCAGAAGCGAUACCAAAGAGGUCUUUCUCUGCCAUGUGAGGACACAGCAAGAAGGCGGCCAUCUGCAAGCCAGGGAAAGAGUUCUCACCAGGAGCCAAAUCAGCAGACACUUUGAUCUUGGACUUCCAGUCUCCAGAACUGUGCCGGUCACCAAGUCAGCCUCAAUCUUUCCAACAGAAUCGUAGAACUCCCCUCAGUCUGGAUAAGGACAUCGAGGAAGCUAUCACUCUCCUCUUUUCUAAUUGGAUGCCUCUCUCCUCCUGCUCCAAUCUGGACUGGCUGCUCUCUCCGGUGGCAUAGCUGUCAUCCAAGAUUUCUCUCCACCACCUGAAGCUGCUGUCUCCUGGAUCCCAUGUCUCCUGUCUUCAUGGUUUUCUCCCUUGUCUCGGUAGAAGAACUCAUGUGGUAGCUUUCUGGGUACACAAGAGAUAACACUUUGGAGAUCAUUUAUUUCUGAAAAUGCCUUUAUUCCACCUUCAUCUUUGAUUGAUCGUUUGGAUAUGGAAUCAAGAUUGUACCAAACAAAUCCCAGAAUUCUCUGAGGGCUUGUUUCUUGGGAUCACUCCUGGUACUAAUUCCUAUAUCAGCCAGGAUUCAGUUGGAAAACAGAAAUCACAUUACUUAUUUUAAAGAGGGAAUUUAAUAUACAGAAGGUUAAAUGGGUGUUGGAGAACUGAAGAGGGAAAGGAGAUACGAAGGUAACACAAAGACAAUAACUGUGGGAAGCAGCUAGCAUAUGGGCAACAAGGGAAGGAGCUGGGAUCCUUCGAACCCUGAAGCUUGAAGCAGGAGCUCCAUGGUGCUAAGAUCCAGCCCUCAGGAGAAGAGGUGUUGCAGCCAGUGCUGAGAUCUCUGAGAGGUAGCAUGAAUUGGUUCUGGAAUUCUAGAGAAAUGAAAUACCCAAAGCCUAGAGCCUGAUCCACUGCCUCAGCCAGGGGAAGGGCUGUUACAGAGAUGAUGCUGAUAGGCAGAGAAGGAAACAGGAAAGAGCAUGUCCUUGUCCCUUCUCUAGACUUCUAGUCUCCCUUUAGGCCACCUACUGACAGACUGUAACAGGAAACCAGCCAUCAAAGGAGAAACUUGGUUGGCAGAGUCCCAGUGUGGGUGGACAGGGCUGAGAGGCAAUGGUUUAAUAACUGGCACAGAGUUUUCCAACUCCUAGUGUUCCUAGAAGUGUUAGGAUCUUCUCUGGAACCUUGGUGUUAUAAAAUUUCCCAUGAGGCCAUGUGGGGUGGGUUUUUCCAUCAGUGAUUUCAAUGAGUUAGGCCUUGGUGGGUGUGUUAGAUCUGGAAAUGCUACUUAGCUUUAGGAAAAUUUCUUACAUUACUUCUUUGGUAAUUUUAACCCCUCCAUUUUCCUUGUUUAUCUUUCCAGGACUCCUACAAUAUAUCUCGUGUACGUCUUGGAUUGAUUGUCUAAUUUCCUUAUAUUCUUGCCUGAUGUUUCUUAUCUCUUUUUCUUCUUGUGAUGCUUACUAUGAGAGUGUCUCAACUUUCUGUUCUAACCUUUUACGUUUUUAAACUUCUGCUAGCAUGCUUUUAAAUUUGCAAGACCUCUUUCUUUUUUUUUUAAAGAUUGGCACGUGGGCUAACAACUGUUGCCAAUCUUCCUUUUUUUAUUUAAGGAUUGGCACCUGAGCUAAAAACUCUUGCCAAUCUUUUUUUUUUUUUUCCUGCUUUAUCUCCCCAAAUCCCCCCUGUACACAGUUGUAUAUCUUAGUUGCAGGUCCUUCUAAUUGUGCAAGACCUCUUUCUUAAAUAGCACUCUAUUCAACAACAAAUAGCAGUCUGUUUUAUAGAUCUUGAUCUUGUUUCAUUGUUUGUUAUAUCUGUUAUGCUAUAUUGAGUAUGUUUAAACUUUUUCUUCUAUUACGUUUAUUAUCUUUCUUUGUCUGUCUUUUAUGUUACAAGCAUUCCUCAAGUCUCAGUAUGUGUUGACUGGCCUUACAAAGGACGAACUGCUCAAAGGCUGAGUGGAAUAGCUGUGUGUGGGCAGGGCUCUCUGAUUGCUGGACGCCACUAUAGGAUAUUCAAGUAAGAAUCUGGGUGAUUUCUUGGUGAUCAAACAUCAAUAUCUCUAGGUGUUGUUUGGUCCCUUCCCCCUCUUUGGACCUCUCAGCUUCCUCAGAGAGGAGCUCUUUUGUUUCCAGGCUGUAUGCCUGCUUGCCACUUUUCUGAGGGUUAACUAGGGCAAGGUGGAGGAGUGGUGCCCACCAUUCAUUUUCUAGACUCUUAUCAAUGCCCCUGUGUUCUAUGCAAUGUCUCAUUCCUGCCCAUAGCUGUGCCUGGUAUUCCUGUUUCCAGAGCUUCUUCAUAUAACCUGUGCAGAGAAUAGUUCUCCCAUCUUCUGCCAGGGUGGGAGAUGGCAACUUUUGGCUGUGCAGGCUCGGGGAGGAGUCCUAGGUGUCCAUCUACCCACUACACAGAUUUCCAGCCAGUUCUUCUCUUUCCCACCCCCACCCUCCCUCUGGCCUUGGGGGUUCCUGCUGCUACCAACUGCUGAGGCUUUCAAGCAUCCUUCUCCCUCACGCAGAGAGACAUGAGGGCUCAUCUCUUUUGGGCCGUCUGUAUUGCCCAGGCGGGACUGAAAACCCUCAGGCCUAGCAACAGCAUGACACAGGCCUGUUUUGAUUGGAAAAGACACUGUGGAAAGUUUGCUAAGCACUUGUCCUAAUGCGGUGAGAAGGAUUUGUGAAAUAAGCACUCCUGGGGCCCCCCUUUGACUCCUCUUUACACUGUCACUCAGGACAACAGGGUGUGGGCAGGUCCUUGACCAAUUAUGUGCUCCCCAUCACGUCCUUCCUGUCCUGCUUGAAGGACCCAGAUGACCUCAUGUCCUCCACGAAGGCUUCCUGACUAGUGCGGUUCACACUCCCAACUUCCUUUCUGGCUCUAACCGUCCAGGGUUCUGAUCCCUGUGCUUCCCUGGGACAUCUCACCUUGCUGUCUAGUGGAAUUUAUUCAUCUUUUUCAGUGCUUACCCCUUUUGCCCCACAUGGAUGAUGGCACUGAAUUGCACUUGUUUAUGUCCCCCUGUUCUGUGCAGAGUGUCUUCUCAUACACACACACACACACACACACACACGCGUGCGCGCACACUCACAGAAAUCCUCCCAUUACCUUCAACCAGCAGUUAUUUGAUUAUGAAUGAAUAAUUACUGAAGGGAAAAUGAAUAUCUUUAUACUUUUUUUAAUAGUUUAUUUUAUUUUAUUUUUUUGUGGUUUUUUUUUUUUUUUUUGAGGAAGAUUAGCCCUGAGCUAACAUCUACCGCCAAUCCUCCUCUUUUUUGCUGAGGAAGACUGGCCCUGAGCUAACAUCCGUGCCCAUCUUCCUCUCUUUAUAUGUGGGAUGCCUACCACAGCAUGGCUUGCCAAGCAGUGCAUAUGUCCGUACCCAGGAUCUGAACGGUCGAACCCCGUGCCGCCAAGCGGAAUGUGUGAACUUAACUGCUGUGCCACCGGGCAGGCCCCUCUUUAUACUGUAUUAAAAAAACCUUUGCAUCUUUAUGCCACUUAAUUCUCACAACAACUGGGGUGGAGGAUGUGUUGCACCUUUUUGAUAGCUGGAAACGCCGAGGCUCAGAGAGGUGAGGUAACAUGCAGGACUUGCAACCGGACGUUCUUUCUGAGAGCCACGUAGUCUUUUUAUUUUGCACAGAAUAUUCACAGCAGCUUUAUUUGUAGUAAGCCAGAAUGGAAACAGCCAAAGUAUCUACUCAUCCAGAGGUGAAUUUUGACAAGUAAAUUGCAGUAAACAAAAAGGAUCAAACUAUGGGUACGCACAACACAGAUAAUUCUAAAAAUAAUUAUACUGAAUGCAAAUCCAGACAAAAAAAACAGUACAUACUGUAGGAUUUCAUUUAUAUACAAUUCUAGGAAAUGCAAACUAAUGUACGGUGACCAUGAAUCGUGUGGUGGCACGGGGAUGGCAGUGAGAGUCGAAUAGCCUUUGCCACAAGCUGUAGCUGACUCUGUCCCCAAAGGAGGCUGGCAGGGCACACACUCCAACCCACUCACAGGGGAGAAGCCUGGCCCCCAGCAGCAUGGCCAGCAGGUGAGAAGAGCUGCGACAGGACUAGGCUGAACCCAGGUGUCUAGUCUCCCAGGCUACUUAGACCCCACUUCCUUUCAGACGAGUGUGGAAUUGUUUUGUCAUAAAAAUGCAAGUGUAGUCAUAAAACAUGUCUUUGUGGGGGGAAAAGUCCCCAGGCCUAGGAAUGUGUGUUCGUAUAUGUGAGACAAGCUGAGACAGGUGUCUCUCUCCCCCUCCCUGGCCCCGAGGCCAGCACGGCCAGGUGGUCCCAUGCUAACCUACAGCACGAGGGGAGCCCCGGCCGGCCAGCGGCAUCUGAUACCCUCCAUAUCAGGCUUAGGACGCUUUCCAAAAGGCUUUGCAUUCCCUGGGUCAAGAGCUCUUUUUUGUUUUUUGUUUUUUUUCGAAAAACAUGUGUAUUUCAGCAGAAAUUUAAUCCCUGGGGUUCCAACUCCUUCACACUUACAUCAGUUAAAAUGGCAUUUCUGAAGAGACAUGUGAUCCUGCAGAAGCCCCAGAGACUCAGCUCAGCUGGGUGUCCCUUCUUGUUUCUUGACCUCAAAUGAAAAAAGAGGAAGUCACGUUUCUUUUUCAAAAUGAUCUUGACAAAGUCUUUCCUUCAAAUUGGGCUGCACUGAAUCCUUCUCUCUCACGGAUUCUUUUGCCACAUUGUCCUAUUGCUUUGCCUGAUGGAAACAGCUGUCAAACCUUAGGCUGUGGCCUGUGGGCCACGUCCCUGAGUUCAAGCUGCCGGCUCCUCGGGAGAGCUGAGCCGAGGGAGGCUGGGCCUCUGCAUGAGGCUUAGACAAGUUUUAGUUCUGGAAGGACCCUAGAGGUUAUCUUUCGAUUCCUUAUGUCCCCUUCUAGAGAUGAGGAAGCUGAUGUCCAGGGAGGACGUGCCUCCUAGGAUCACACAGAUAACCCCUAGGGAUUCCCAUCUUUUGAGAACCUAAACUGCCAGACAUUGUGCUAUAUGUUCUGCAUGUACUGUCUUACUUAUCUGCUCAGUUAUUCAUUAGUGAGUCCUUGUUAUCCUCGUUUCGCUGAUGGGAGAAUUUGUCCAAGGCUGUGCAGACUCCGUGGCAGGAUGGAGAGCAGAACCCUGUGCCCGUGUUCGUUGCUUUCAACAAGCGUACUAUUCUGCUCCUGCAGGAGGUGGAGGGGGGUUGGAGCCAGGAGCCAGGGUUCCCAGCACCUGUCCUCUAAUGUCUUUUGUGAUUUUGACCUUAAGAAUAUUUUAUAUAAUCACUAGACUUCAGUAUGUAUGUCUAGUUCCUAAAACCUUGAAUCUCUUUUCUCCCGAUUUUGGUGUUCUGAGAACCAGUACUAGGUGAUGUUGAUUUAGCUUUCAACACAAGUGUUUUCUUUCUGCUCCACCCUGGCCUUUCCAUACUUCCUCCCUCUUUGUCUUCCAUCUCUUGCUGGCACCUGAUUCUCUCUUCCCUUUAGAAACAGUUUUCAAGAAAAGAUCUACUAUUGGUGAUUGAUAACUCAGUAUGAACUUAAGCCCAUCAGGACCUCUUGUAGGAGAAUUUGUCUUACCUCUGAUGGUGGAAUGGAGAGAUUUUAAGGAAGAAGGAAAAAAAGCAAGGAAACCAUAUUCACUGGCAGGUAUUUUGUGUCAGGUAUUGUGCUGGAUUCUAUUAUAUAACUUAUAAAAUGCUUCCCCACUUUCCUCCCUCUUUUUACAGGUCACUGAAGCUUACAGACGUUAAAUAACGUACCCCCAGUCAUCAUGCAAUGACUUCUAUCUGUGGGAUUCUUUCCACUAUACCAUGAACGAAAAGGGGAGGAUUUGAGGGUGACAAGGUUGGGAGGGAGGGGCUUCUCUGUGUCCUUGAAUCAAUUGUGAGAGGCUGACCUCUACUGGAUCGUACAGCACUUGAACACCAAAAGGAAGAAAUAGUUUUCCUAGCCUCAAAUGAUUUUUUCUCACAUUUUGGAGAGGAAUCUGUUUAAAAGGUAUGCCAAGUGCCUACUACUUAGAAAAUACUGGACUAAAUGCCAAGGUAAAGCAAAUAGAAAUUGAUUGGACUGUGUAAGUCACAGCAGGGAUGAAAGGCACACCUCCUACGCCCAGUGUGCUCAGCUUCACCAGGGAGGUAUCUCCAAAUAGCACAAGUUCUCUUCCAGAGGAACCGGAAGACCCAGGUCUUGAAAGAAGCAGCCCUUCUCUGGGUUUACACUCCUCAUAUUGUAUCCCAUGUUUUAUAAUAUGCACAUCUGCAUUGCGUCAUUAUUUUUGUCCCAUUGUCCAUUUGUUUUGUGCAACAUUGGUUCUUUAAGCAGCCAUGUUCACUGAGACUCACAUAAAAUGGGUCUGAGAUGUAGAGAACUGCCUCUUAUGAAUGUUUUAUUUACUUAUCUAUCAUUCUUAUCAGUGGCCUUCUCCCCUGUCUCUGGUUACCUUUUUCACUUAGCUAGCCAACUGAGAAUUAGAUGAAGGAUGGAAAUAGAUUGGCAGUUUGCCUUCAGCUGCUAGACAAGGGUUCUUUCUUUCUGUGGUUUAGUUUCACAAAGGGUUUUGUAGGCAUUGGAAGUUUUGGUACAAAGCAGCGCGGCCUAAAGGCUGCAGCCCAGAAGGGCGAGCGAGGAGGUCAGUGUCCUUGUCUUCAUGCUGCCAGCUUUGGAUGUGAUGAAGUCACUUAUAUCUCUUGUUGCCCCUUUUUUGUAUUUAGAAAAUUAUUUUGAAUUAUAGUAGAUUAUUAUGAUUUUACAUUUUAUUUGAAAAUAAGUUCUAACUUGAGAAUGUGUCUACUGGAGCUGUAAGCGCACAGCCUGGAUGGCAUCAUCUGGCAGCUCACAAUCAUGUACAAAAUCAUUCUGCAUAUAAAAGAAGCAAUUUGCCAUUAAUUUAUAAUGUUUUUAUUGUGCUUUUCUUAUUGCAAAAGUAUUUCAUGCAGAAAAUUUGAAAAAUACUGAUAAGCAACAAAUAAAUAUAUAAAAACCACUUGAAUCUUGCCACCUAAAGAUAUCCACUGAUAACAUGUUAUAUUAUUCUUUAGGCUUUUUAAAUGCAUAUUUUCACAUAGGCAGUAUUAUGCUGUUUACAAUGUUUUUUGAACUUCUUUUUCUCUCAAUAAUAUGUCUGAAUAUUUUUCCGUGUCAUACAAUCUUCUAGAAUAUCAUAUUUCAUGGUUGUGUAGUAUUUUGUCAUGUAGAUAUAUCAUAAUUUAUUUGACUGUACCUUUUUUUAGGGACAUUUAAUUUAUAUCCAACAUUUUAUCAUUUUAAAUACUUCUGUCCUAAAAAUCUUUGUUGCUAAGUCUUUGUGCGUAAUCAUACUUUAUUCUUUAGGAUCAAAGUCUAAGGGUACAAAAAAUUUAAGGGUUUUGAUAUUUGUUGCCCACUUGACCCCAAGAAAGUUGUCUCAACGUAUACUUCUGUGCAUUGAAUCGCCCCUGGGACAAUAGCAGAUGAUAGAUUAUUUUAAUGUUUUGCCAAUCUGAUAGAUUAAAAGUGUCACAUAUGUAUUUAAAUUUCCUUGAUUAUUGACAUUGAACAAUUUUUGGACUUUUACAAUAUACUUACCGAUUUUUUUUAUCUAUAAAAGCUCUUUAUUUUAAUUUGUAUGUAUUUACAUAUUUAAGUGUCUAAAGCUCUGGAGACAAACUGCCUGGGUCGAGCCCGAGCUCUGUCGGGUUUGGUUGUGCUUACAAAGGCCUACCCCCAAGACUACAGGAAAGUUAACUUCUAUUUUUUUCAGGUGCUUUUAAGUCCGAUUUUCUACAUUUCUACAUUUAAAAACCUACGAUAGUGGCCGUGCUGGUUAUUCUCCCCUUUUCCCUCCAGAUCCGCUUCCUAUCCUUUCCAGCUGCUCUGUGCCAUAAGAGACUGAGGAACGGACUGCCUCAAUGGGCUGACCUGCCUUCUGGCUUUUGGUUGGGUCCAGGCAAUGGCUAGCAGUGAAAGGAAAGGCGGAGAGUGGACUAUUAGACUAUACAGAGCGUCAUGUGCUGGGCUGGAGAGUUCGGAAUUAAUUCUAUACCUAGAGGGAGACUGAGAGGGAUUUGACGUAGGGGAGGAAGAUCAAAGAUCAAAGUGCAAAGUAGGACAGUGAAUUUGAUGGCCCUGGGAAGCCUUGAGGAAGGCUGAAGACAGGAAGCCCCAUGGGGACUGCUGAGGUUGCAGCUAUGACGCUGAACUGGCAGAUGUUGACUGUGAGUGAGGAAAAUAAUAGAGACCUGAUUUAAGACACAUUUCCAAAGAAAAUGAACUGGUCUUCGGGGUGAAUAUUUUAAGUGUAAGGAAAUGAGUAGUGACACUACUGUGGUAUCAUUUCUAGCCCUGGCGAUUGCCUUUCUUGAGUGACAUCCCUCAUGGAACUUUGCAGGGGGAUCCCACUUGGCAGCUGGUAAAGAGAACAACCCCCUGCGUCAUCAUAUUACUAAAGCCACACAAUAUUUCUGCCCUUUCUCUUUUCUCUGGUUUCCAGGCCUUGGAAUAUUAUAAUUUCUUGAAAAGUUAUACUUAAAAUAACAACGACUAACUUCAUUGAGUACCACUCCCCCUCCUUUUUUUCUUAGUACUUACAUAUUAUCUCAUUUAAUAUUCUUGUUCCUAGUUAGCCUAAAUGUUAUUGCCUCAUUUUCAACUGAAAAUGCUAGUUGGGAGGGAGCAUGGAAUAGUGAAGAGCACGGGCAGGGGUCAAGCAGAGCUGGUUCCAAGCAAAAUGGGGCAGCUCUGUAUGUAUUUCCUCCUAGAGAUUCCCUAGCCUGCUCAUGUGUUGUCCUUUGGUAACUUCCUUAUCCCCUAAAUACUUUCCUUGAAAAUCUGAUUUCAUCUGGGUAAAGUAUAUGAGAAGGUAGGAAGGAGGGAGAAUUUAAUUACUUUGAGAGAGAUGGUGGAUUUGGCUGUCUUUACUGUUGGUGUUACUUUCUCUUAGGCAUUUUUCAAAAUAAGAAUUUUGGUCUAAUAAUUUAGCAAUGGUGAUUGUGUUGACUGUUCACAAUGGAAGAGACUUCAGGUACUAUAUAAUCCAAUCUCUUCAUUUUGCCCACAAGGACACCAAAAUUCAGAUGCCCCUCUCUAUCCCCUUGGUCUGUUCAACACCGGAAGUCUUUUGGCUUCCAUUAAAUCUAUUGGUGCCUGGUAAAAGGUGACAACCCUCAUCAUGAGCCCCGGGGCACUCCUCCAGCCCGCUGGUGAUUUCUGCAUGUUGACAGCACCUAUUCAGAUUUUAUAUUUGCUUUGUUGGGUGUUGAUUUUGAUGAGGACUAGAACCUGCUGGAGGCUACGUAGGGCGCAAAGAUGAGCGCAAGUGAUCUUUGCUCAGUGGGUUCAAUAGGCGAAAUGGAGGAAGUACAGCUGUGACCUGUGGGACAACAAGGCAUGAUUUUAUCUGGAAAGGUCUCCACAAGUAGCAGAAAUUCGGCAGGAUUAACCCAUUUUCAGUAGAAAAUGCUUUCAGGACAGGAAUGCUAUUCACUUUUCCUUGGUUUUAGAUUUUCCUCUUUGUCUUUUUCUCCAUUCUCCAAGUUUUCUGUCAUGAACGUCUUACCUUGGUCUUCAGAGAAAUUUAUUUUAUAUGUAUUUAUCUGUAUCUAUAUCAUAAUUUCUAAAAGAAAUAAAAUGCCUGGAGGAAGCAGCUCUGAAAACUCUGUGGGGAAUUUUGUGGGGAAGAUUGUAAGGGAAGCCCUGAACAACAUUUCCUAAAGUGCUCAGUGGGAAGCGAUCUUGGAAAAACCCUUCCUUGGCCAAAUACACUUGGAGUGAUGUGCUCCAGCCCCUUCUUGGACACUUAUAAUGCCCAUUAAGGGCUCUGGAACUUUCUGCAGGAAAAUAAAAUAAAACAAAACAUAAAAUUUUGUCUUAAUUCUUUUAAGUCAGUGUUUCUAAACAUAUUUGAUUUGAGACUACUUUUUGUGUCUGAACAUUCCAACAAGACCAGUAUUUUGUGAAACAUACUUUGGGAGAGUGCCCUAAAACGAGUUCCACAGAAACUCUGUUGCAGCCCUCGGGUCUCAGGAUAAACCUUCUAGAGCCUGCGGCAAACGAAACAGUGAUGUCUCUUCUCUCCUCUAUUGGUGUCCAGGUGAACACCACUUAAAGUGAACAUUAGAGCCUGGCUUUAAGUGGAAAAGAAGUCCCAAAACCCUGCAACGUGGAGUAGAAGAGGAGGUGUCUUAAUGGGGGAGGCCAGACUUAUGGCCUCUUGGCUGGGGCUGCACUUACAUUAGUGUAGCUGGGAGGGCCUCUUCGCUUCUUGGCAGACUUCCCAGGUUGCUGAUCCGGAGGCUGGCUGCGGCUGCUCCCCCAGCCAGGAGGGGGCACCUCUCUUCUCUACUGGAGGUGCAGAGAGAUGAAAUCUGCAUGUGCUCUGAGUCCAUGCACACGCAGCAUGUGUACAGCACUCUUCAGGGCACCCUGGGACCACUAAAGGAGACAGUCUCACUCUUACCUUACUGAGCUAACAAUCUAGUUGAGGAGAUAAGGCACAUACACAUGGAAUGUCAGAAAAUGUAAGGUGACGAUUGUGGACUUUGUCAUGUGAUAUAGAUUUUAAGGAAUUGCAUGCAUUUAGAGGAGAAGAGGGCAUCAGUCAGCCUGGGGUGAUCAGGAAAGCCUUAGCUAUAGUAUGGGAGGUAGGGCCGGAGGAAUGAAUAGAAUUUGAAAAGAUAGGGACCAGAGGGGAAGGCAGUCAUGCGGGGGAAAGGCCUGAAAGAAACACAUGAUUUGUUCAGGGACUGCAUUGCCAAGUCCCUUUAGGAAGCCUCAGGCCACUCUGAAAGGUGCCACACUCAGCAGGAUUUUUCAGCAUUGUAGACCUAGGCAUCUCCUCCAUGAGUUCUCCACUAGCUACCCUUGUCUCUGGUAUGGCGGCCAUCGUUGAGUAGCCCGUCCAUUAUGCUCAGUUACUGGCUUGCUCUUAUGUCCUAUGGGUACAUCGUGUUUCCUAGUUAGGCCUGUGAGCUAACAUGGCAGGCAUGAGCACAACAGUCUUAUUCUCUGCUUCCCCUUCCUUGCCUACCCAUCUACCCUAAGCAUGUCACCCAGUGCUUGGCAUAGCUCAUGUAUUCAGUAAAUGUCUGUUGAUGGAUCCGUUGGAUUCUGAAUAAAACUUUUGCUUAGGUGUACGUCUAUGACCUCAUUAUGUCAUCAGUGAGUGUUAGUGUCCCCAUUUCAUUAGGCGUAGAAAAGGAGGACGGAGGACCAACACACUCCGAUGUUGCGUAACCUCAGGUAGUUAUAGGGCUUAGUCUAAAAUCUAAUUCUCUUUUCAGGCUUAAGAGUCCUUUGUUUGCGCAACUCAGUGUAACUGUAAACAUUUGCUGAGUCCUGUCCUCAGUCUAGUUUGAGGGGUGUGUGUGUGUGUGUGUGUGUGUUUAUAGAGGCGGGAGGGGAAGAGGAAGGAGAAACUGCAAAGACGAUUGGGAUGUAGUUCUACCCUCAAGAAGCUUACAUUCUAGUAAAAGAACCAGGGAGAGCACUCUCACCUGUAAAGGAGUUGGAGGCCAGCUUUUCGGGGUGUAGGGUAUGAGGGGACAAUUCAGUUCCUUGCAGAUUGUCACAUAUUGUUCAAGAAAGAUGAGUUGGGGUCUCUUCUGUCGCCGUUUUUCUUGUUGAUCCUGACUACCCUGCCAGCCACCUCGGGGGGUUGUUCCGCCUCCCCUCCUGCCCUGGGGCAAUGACUGGCAGUUUCCCCAGCUGUUUGGCAAUUCCAGAGCAAGCCCUGUAGCUCCAGGCACAGUCCACCAGAUGGUGCAAAACAAAUGAAACACCCGUCAUUGUGGGCUAUCCAGCUUAUCAAACCCGAAAUUGGACAGCUGAGGGGAGGACUUUCUGGGAAUUUUCCACUUCUGAGUUCAGCCAGAAAGGAAUGAAAAUGUACCCUGGAGACUUGAAUAGAAGGUUUGAAGUAGCUUUAGGGAUUAAAACCCUGUGCAUGUGUGUGUGUAAAGAGGUCUUAUACAUAGGCAGAAAGGAGGCGCUCGCCUCCACAUAGUCUGGGCAACCUCCUGCCCUCAUCCCAAACGCUCUUCUACCUCUCGGCUCAGGGCUAAGCUUCCACUCCAAAAAAUUGUAAAGGACUUCAGGUGUUAAUACCCUAGGGAGAAGUAAUGAUGUCUUGUGUUUGUUUAGAGCCUUGCAUGUACCUUCAGACCUAUUAUUUCAUUAGAACUUCAUAACAACCCUGUGAAGCAGGUGAUGUUGUUAUAGUCAUUUUAAAGAUGAGGAAACCGAGGGUCAGAGACAGUCAGAGAGUCCCAAGGUUAUACACCCGGGGCAGUGAGCUGCUGGAUCAAAACGAGAUCUUCAAGUGUUGAAUCUCUUUCUCUUUUCACUCCACUAGGCUGAAUUCUCUGUUUUAAUGAUUAGAAUCCAAAUUUUUAAAAAGUAGAUGGUGAGGGUGAGAAGAAGGAGAAAAGUGGAGGGAGCUGAGCUCUUGAUAGAGGAGAGAAAGGGCAGUGUAAGGCAGGACUUGGAGCUCACAGGCAAAAUGUGCUUCUCCAGGUCCUCUUGGAGUGAUUUUGUGUGUGUGUGUGUGUGAGAGAGAGAGAGGGAAAGAGAGGCAUACUCAUGCAUACUGGAGCACAGAGUGAACAUUACCUCAUGUGGAUACCUUUUUAUUCAACUUGCUUGCACUGGACUCCUACCGUAGCAGUGAGAUAUACUAGAAAAUCAAGUUUUAAACAGGAAAAAAUAGAAAAUAAACAGAUGAAAGCGCCUUCCUUGUUAAAUCAAGGUUGUACCAAUACCCCAAGAUGGUACAGUGCUGGGCCCAGGAAACAUGGUUUCCCUGGCCUUUCCUGUCUCCUCUCCAAGCUGUCUACCCACUUCGCCUCUUGGUGUCCACAGAAUCAGCCUGGGGUGAGCCCAUUGUCACAUGCUCUGCACCUCUCAUUCUGGCCUUCCCUUCGGCGGAACCUGAGAGAGCGUCCCAGCCCUCAGAGCCUGCCAAGUGACCAACAGAUCCUUUUGAAUCAUCUAUACUAAAUACAUUAGCAAAUGGUAAUGUUUUAAUGUGUAGCUCCUUCUAAGAACACAGAAGCUAAGAUUUUAUUUUAUUCAAAACUUUAUACACAAUUUAAAACAAAGCAAUAUGGAGGUUUCAGGCACUGAUGUUGGUCAGGUCUUCAAGCUUCCCCAAGACCUCUCAGAACCCUGCACACCUCACCAGCUGUCUGCACAGCUGGCCGUGGAGUCAGCCCUGCAGUCUGCCCGUUGAGAUGUUUUCUGGUGGGGGUCGUAUCUAACCAGGCAAAGUCAUUCCUAUCUUCUUCCUUCUUUCUCAUUUUAGUGCCCUGGGCUAGCUGAGACUCCCAGGACAUCCAACCUCGAUUAUCGCACUAAUCUUCUUAUUGUCCCUUUCUCUCCAGCCUCCCUGUAUUCUCAUCCUAGAGGUGGCUGACAGAAAAUUUUUUAUAAAACUCAAAUUGGACCAUUUUGCUUUCCUUCCUAGAAAUCUUAAAAUGUUCCCCUAUUUCUCUUUUUUUAAACAACAGCUUUAUUGAAGUAUAGUUCACAUGCCAUAAAGUUUGCCCAUUUAAAUUGCACAAUUCAAUGUUUUUUAGUAUAUUCACAGAGUUCUGCAGCCGUCACCACUGUAGGGACUAAACUGUGUGCCCCUAAAACUCAUAUGUUGAAGUUCUAACCCCAGUACGUCAGAAUACGACUGUAUUUGGAGACAGGGCCUUUAAGCUAAUUAGAUAAAAUGAGUUCAUAUGGAUGAACCAUAUCCAGAAUGACCGGCGUCCUUAUGGGAAGAGGAAAUUAGACACAGACAACCCACAGACUGAGGGGCUAACACAUCAGGGCACAGAGGCCAAGGAGAGAGGCCUCAGAAGAAACCAAACUUGCUGACACCCUGAUCUUGGGCCUCCAGCCUCCAGAACUGCGAGAAAAUCAAUUCCUGUUGUUUAAGCCCCUCAGUCUGUGGCUUUUGUUAUGGCAGCCAUAGCACACUAAUAGAAGCACAAUUUAAUUUUAGAACAUUUUCAUCAUCCCAAAAAGGAAAUGCGUACCCAUUUUAGUCAUUUCCCACUUCUCUCCACUUCUCUUAGGCCUAGGUAAUCACUACCUACUUUCUGUCCUAUGGGUUUGUCUAUUCUGGACAUUUCAUAUAAAUAAAACCAUACAAUAUGUCUUUGUUUAAACUGACUUCUUUCUCUUUGCGUAAUGUUUUCAAGGUUCAUCCAUGCAUAGGAUGUAUCUAUAAUUCGUUUCCUUUUAUUGCAGAAUGCUGUGGACAUACCACACUUUAUCUAUCCACUCAUCAGUUGAUGGGCAUUUGGGUUGUUUCCACUUUUUGGCUACGAAUAAAUCUGCUAAGAACAUUCAUGUACACGUUUUUUUUGUGUGGACAUAUGUUUUUAUUUUUCUUGUGAUUUUACCUUGGAGUAGAAAUGCUGGGUCAUAUGGUAACUUUAUGUCUAAUGUUUUGAGGAACUGCCAAGCUGUUUUCUAAAGUGGCUGUGCCAUUUUAUACUUUUAUCAGCCAUGGAUGAGGUUUCCAAUUUCUCCACAUUCUUGACAAUACUUGUUACAGAUUGUCUUUUUGAUAAGAGUUAUCCUUGUGGGUGUCAAGUGAUAUCUCUUGGGGUUUUGAUUUACAUUUGUCUAAUGGCUAAUUUUUGUUUUGAAUAUCUUUUCAUAUGCUUAUUGGCC
ensembl:lncRNA